GUUUGUGUGUCUGUCUAUGAAUGAUUGUGUGUGUCUAGUUGUGAGUUAUCGCUGCCUGUUUUGAUAACGUGGGCGAUGAUCCUGACGCUGUCAGAGCACCGGAGCAGACAUUUCGAAAAAGAGCUCUGAAACAGACUUUCUAAGUGUAAAAAGCUGUCAGGAUGUGAACGAUGAAAAGAGAAAUGACAGCCGCGUUGUUUGAACAGAUGCAGCGACGCGAGGGGGACGCGCCUCGCUGGGUUUUUGGCGCUAUAUUAAAAAGAUGAUUAUUAUUAUUGUAGUUGUUAUUGUUUGUUGUAUAUAAACAUGUCUCUCUCAUGAGUUCCUGUCUCGAUGCAUUCUUCUCAAUAACAGCAGAUCAGAGCCUAUCAGGGUGUCUCAACUCAUUAUAACUCGGGACCCGGGCUCUGUGACUGGCACAGAGGAGGGUGAGGUCACUGUACCCUGCACUGUGACAGGGGCUCCUCCAGGACCAGUGAGAUGGUACAGGGACACUGGCAGCGGCAGACAGUAUCUCUACUCUACAGACCCCCUCCGCCCAAUGAGAGAAACGACCCCCGUGUGUCCAGAGUACAUCAACACCACCCCACAGAUUCAUCCAUUCGAAUUGUGAGGCUGACUGUGAAUGACUCAGGAAUGUAUUACUGUGAGAAAUACAGAGGGUUUGAUGGGUCCCAAAUAGCUGGGGGUGCAGGGACCUGGCUGCGUGUGCAAGGUGAGUGUGUGGCUCUCUGAUCACUUCUAGUAUCUUCGCUGUGGCUCCUGUAGCGCACAGAUUUAAAAUAUAUCAAAGUGUAUAAUGAUACAUUUAACACAUAUGUAACAGAUUUAGCAUGUAUUUAACAUGUUCUUUUAAACACGCGUUUCUCGUCCAAAGCAAACACACUGACGUCUUUUGUUAUGUUUUUUUUUAUUUUUAAAUAAAUGUUCCAGUUAUAAACUGAGGAUUUUACGAGAGCCUUUGUUUUUCUCGUUAGGAUGUCUAUUUUAAAACACGGCCGUGGUUUGUGGUAUUUGCAAGUUUCAAAGAUUGUUGUGCAUUUACGCAGUUGGCAUUUUGAACUCCUUGGGGGGGGGGAGUGCAGGGGGGGGGGAGCACACGACCUGCAAGAGCCUCAAAUCGGGGGGGGGGUCCCUGCUUCUACAGAACCAGAAACAUGCCCUGCCUUCAGACCCUGCAUCAGCAACAGCUUGCAGAGAUAGAUUUUCUGCACCGAGCUACCUCCAGACCCUCAUCUCUCCCUACACCCCCACUCGACCUCUCCGCUCCGCCUGCACUAGAAGACUGGCUCUACCUCCGCUACGCUCCCCUGCCUCUAGAGCCCGCUCCUUCUCCACCCUUGCUCCGCAGUGGUGGAAUGACCUUCCUACAGAUGUCAGGACUGCCCAGUCCCUGACCACAUUCCGGCGCCUCCUUAAGACUCACCUCUUCAAACAGCACCUGUAGAACUCCUCUGUUUGUAUCCUGGGACACUAUCACCCUUCAUUUAAAUGUGCUUUAUUUUGCUCUUAUCUGCCCCCUAUUUUACUGCAUUUAAUCCUGUACUUCAGAAUACUGUAAUCUACCAAGUGUUUAACCUGUAGUACUUUGUAUUUAAUCACAUCCUGAUGUAACUAUCACUAUUUAAUCAUAUCCUGAUGUAACUAUCACUAUUAUCUGCUGUAUUAUUGAAUUGUGGUUUGUCACACUUGAACAAAAGUUAUUGUAUUUCUUGCUCUUAUUGUAUUACUUGUAUUGUAACACUUGAAAUGUAUUUGCUUACGAUUGUAAGUCGCCCUGGAUAAGGGCGUCUGCUAAGAAAUAAAUAAUAAUAAUAAUAAUAAUAAUAAUAAUAAUAAUAAUAAUUCUGUUGUUGUUGUUUUGUUUUUGUUUUAUAGUUCUGCGUACGGAAUUCUUUGUGUGAAGUUUGCUCGCCGUUUGCAGCCAAUUCAAAAGACUUGAAACGCCCCCUUUCAAAAUCCACCGGUUCCGACUCUACGAGAGGCGCAUCCAGUAAAGGCUCACCGCGCACCAGCGCCCCCCUGUGGUCUGGCCGGGCGCCUGCGGGCUUGCCUGUAAGCUGCCCAGGAGCUGCGUUGCGUGUGUUCGUCUUCGCCCCUCUCGAGUCAAGCGCAGGGGGGGUGGUAGCGGUGAGGUGAGCCUAAAAAUAAUUAAAUCCACUGGUUCCGUGACCCACCAGGACAAAAUCACACCUGAGGGUUAGGACAAAAUCAAAUUACUUAUUCCACGUUGUUUUACACGCAGUCUGGGGGUGAGGAUCGCGAUGAUGUCACGAUGACGCUCCAGAACACGAGGAAUCAGAGGAAGGCGAGGAGGCUGAAAAUUCCGCCAUUUCCCUGGACUUCCGUUACCCACCAAUAAGAGGGACUGGUGUCUUACUGGUUUAUUGAUGGGGAUGCUGGUCUGCUAAUGGGAUUGCGUUAGCUGUGGUUUUAGCUGUGUCCAGUUUGGCUCAAGGGAGCCAGUGAACAUUGUCUGAACGCGUUCAACAAUGGCUGUCUAAAAUCAACCUAAACAUAUCGACAAAUAAAAUAUAUAUUUUUUGAUAUGCUGUCGUAUUCUCUAUAUUUGAUGCCAUUAAACUACUGAAUAAAAA